AGGAACAGAGGCGGCUUCACCACUCGUCUCACAGCAUCCCACAGCCCGACUCUCCAAAAUAAACCCCCAAAACACGACGUGAAGAGAAAACACACAGACACUCGUCCACUUGCAGACAUGGACCCACAGGGCGGUACCAACCGAGUGAAGUCGGACCCUCCGCCUGCUACAAAUACAACUGGUGACCAACGUUUGUGCUGCUGAUAUUAAAAAAGGUUUAAAGGUCAAAAGUUCAACCAGCCAUUAUGAAAACCUAACAAAGUUGGUGUAAAAUGUUUUCGUUUGUGCUGCUUUUGCUUUGACAAUAUUAAUGAAAGUUGAAAGGUCAACUAACUCCCCUCAUCACCCAAACCUAAAAUCGGUGUCAAACGUUUGUUUUGUGCCGCUAUUGUUUUAAAGAUAUUGAUAAAUGUUUCUAAAGGUUAUGAAAGGACAACCAGUCUUUUACUUUGAAGACAUUAAUCAAAGUUUAAAGGUCACAAGGUCAACCAGCCCUCCAGCCCCACAUUACCCAAAUCUAACAAAAUUGGUGUCAAACGUUUGCACAGAAAAAUGUAUUGUUUGUGCCGCUAUCAUUUUAAGAUAAUAAAGUUUCCAGAGGUCAGAGGUCAACCAUUUCCCUGCUCAGAUUUACAAAUUCAAACAAACUUGGUGUCAAUCAACUUUGGUUGUGCAGCAAAUAUUUUCAUUUGUGGUGGUUUUUCUUUAACGAUAUUGAUAAAUACCUCUGGAAAAGUUUUUUAUCAAUAUCUUUAAAGAGACAGCGGCGCAAAUGAAAAUGUUUGCUGCACAAACGUUUGACACCAAUUUUGUUAGAUUUGAAGAAGGUGGGAGGAGCCAACUUCACUCGGGUCACAAACACGCCAACAAAAAAAGACAGAAGAAGACAAGGCUGCAAGUUAAAGAUAACAGUUGAUUGAGAGACAACAGCUAAAGCAACAGGAAACAAGAAAACAGUGGAUGGUUCAGCUUUAAGUACUAAUAGCCACAACAGAACCGAUGUGACACAGUCGGUACCGUACCUUGCAAAAUAAUCCACACCUUCUGAGUUUUCCACAUUUCGUCUCACCACAACCACAAACUGGAACCGUUUACUGGGAUUCUAUGUGAUGGAUUAUCAAAAAGAAACUCAAGAUUCAGAAAUGGAAGGAAGUAUUUUUGGUAUUUUCCCCCAGAACCAAACAUGGAGAAGCGGCAUUCAGCUUCUAUGCUCCACGAAUCUGGAACAAACUUCCAUAAAACUGAAAAACAGCUGAAACACCGAGUUCCUUUAAAUCUAGACUAAAAACUCACCUGGUUAGAAUUACUUUUGACUUUGAUCGAUGUAUUUGAUUGACAAUUUUGACAAAAUGUAAUGUUUAUUGUUUGUUUUGUAAUUGGUUGAUGAAAUGUACUAUAAAAAUAAAUUUAUCUCUAUCACUGCCAACUACAAAGUCAGCUGCGCUAACCUUAAACAUGGUGUCCGUGUAUCAUUAAAAAGUCUUAAAUUUGUUAACCACAGGUCCUUCAUUUUGUUUCAACAGAACUAUUUAAUCUCAUAUACAUUUUUUUUUUAAAUUCUCGCAGGACUUUUCUGUCAGGUAAAAGUUCGAGUCACAUUUAAACAUCUGUGACUCAAGGCGGUUGAGGCUACCGCUAACUAGAUGCUAACAUACUCUAGACUAGCUAGCUAGUUUUUUGUGUGUAUUGUGGGUAAGUGUAAAUUUAUUUCCAUCUGACUGGUCGGAGUUCGUACAUUUCUGUUGUGAUAUGGGUCUUAAAUUCUAUUCAUAAUUGUCUUAAAAAGUCUUAAAUUUGAGUUGAUGA